rnacentral:lncRNA from 1 species
GGGACUAUGUCAUGUGUAUCGCAUUGCCACGAACUGUUCCACCACGAUCCGCUGCACUAUGUCGCCUCCUGGUGACAUCUCCAUUGCAUUCUGAUCCUUGUGGAAUAAACUCGAAUUGUGAACCCUCCAUUUGUGGCCUCUGCCAAUACAUCGCAGGGUCUCUUCCACCUUCGAUUUUAUUCGCUCCUUUGGCAAUCGACCUUCAUCCACCCACUCUUGGGUCACACCUAGAUGAAGCACCACUCUAGGACAGUCCGUCGCCUA